rnacentral:miRNA from 1 species
UCAGAUGCUUUAAAUUCCCGA